AAAACAACUCUCGGCAACGGAUAUCUAGGCUCUCGCAUCGAUGAAGAACGUAGCAAAAUGCGAUACUUGGUGUGAAUUGCAGAAUCCCGUGAACCAUCGAGUUUUUGAACGCAAGUUGCGCCCGAAGCCAUUAGGCUGAGGGCACGUCUGCCUGGGCGUCUC
rnacentral:rRNA from 1 species